rnacentral:rRNA from 1 species
AGUGAACGCUGGCGGUAGGCCUAACACAUGCAAGUCGAACGGCAGCACAGUAAGAGCUUGCUCUUACGGGUGGCGAGUGGCGGACGGGUGAGGAAUACAUCGGAAUCUACUUUUUCGUGGGGGAUAACGUAGCGAAACUUACGCUAAUACCGCAUACGACCUACGGGUGAAAGCAGUGGAUCUUCGGACCUUGCGCGAUUGAAUGAGCCGAUGUCGGAUUAGCUAGUUGGCGGGGUAAAGGCCCACCAAGGCGACGAUCCGUAGCUGGUCUGAGAGGAUGAUCGGCGACACUGGAACUGAGACACGGUCCAGACUCCUACGGGAGGCAGCAGUGGGGAAUAUUGGACAGUGGGCGCAAGCCUGAUCCAGCCAUACCGCGUGGGUGAAGAAGGCCUUCGGGUUGUAAAGCCCUUUUGUUGGGAAAGAAAAGCAGCAGGUUAAUACCCCGCUGUUCUGACGGUACCCAAAGAAUAAGCACCGGCUAACUUCGUG